AGAGCGGACGCCGAGGCCGAGGAGGCGCCGAGAGCGAGUGAGAGCUGCUAGCCAGUUGUCACCUCUCACAGAGAGUCUCAAGAUGUAGCUUUGAGCCAAACUACAAAUGUGUUUUCUUUCAUCUUGAAAUAUAGCCUCGGAAUGUGCUGUGAACCUCCACUCUCCUCUCCCUUUCCCACUUUAUGCUCCCAUGCCUUAUGCACAUUUAUUUGCCUAGGUACUUGUUAAGCACACACCAUGCUCUCUUAUCUGGUCAUAAAUUUCCUUAGAAGCUUUAGGGGCCGGAUCCUGAUACAGAGCAGACACCUCCAGAGUUCUUUCCAACGCGUGAUUACCUCAAGCCUGGAAUCCACUCUUGACUAGAGAUUGACUGGAAGAUUGACUGCAAUUGAUUUGUAACCUGGUUGGGCCCAUCCUGGCACGGGUUCCUUCACUAGAUGGAAUAAUAAUUCAAAACAAGUCAUCGGAGCAGGUUGCACCGCCUGACACCUCCUAAGCCGUUUGUUUCUCCUGCAUUCCAAACCUCUCGCUUUAAAAACCCCUGCAUUCCCUCCACAAAUUAAAGAGUGGAAAUGUUUGGAAAGAAUUCCGCCCAGUCUUGCCCUUGCUACCACAGAUAAUAAAGCUUGCUCUCUUUCUAUCACACCUCGCUCUUGUUAUUUUGGCGUCUUUCUCCAAGCAGCAAGCAGCUGGACCCUUUUGCCUGUUACAAGUCUUUAAAUAGGGUAGUUUUCAAAUGUCUUCCUCAGUAAAAAAUAUGAUUCUAUCCCUCCAAUAACAUAACCUUUUUUUUUCCUUUUCUGUCUGUUGGGAGGAGUUUAAAAAGAAAGCGUGGGCAUUCCAUAUGUAUAUGAAAUUUCCUGUUGGUUCCUGAAAAAAUGAUAAAUUUUUCAAUGAUGUAUCUAGAAAAUAGUGACUUCUGUGAUUUAAUUUAUGAUAUACUAGCAUAUGUUUUGUGGCAGAAGAAAACCCUUAAAUUUAGUAUGCAGACCUCACUGUUGGGGGCACAAUGGAACAGACUCAUACUGAGACUUGCCUGCAUUCUGGAUAGGGCAAUUGAGUCCGUAGAGCUGCACUUCAUCAUCUGCUAAGUCAGCAGUUAAUUUUCUUUCUAGUGCAUUAUUUACUUCAAAAUUAACAUUCAUGAGAACUCAAGGAAUACAAGCUAGCCUAAAGAGUUAGGCUUUGUCUACAUUUGUCGUCUGCAUGAAGGGAGCAAUUUUACAGCACCCCAGGUGCCCUAACACGUUGACAGCCUGGCAGUAUUUUACACUUAAAAUUCUUCAGCUGAAUACUGGACAUUUUGAACAAGGACGUUACAUUAUUCUUGGUACUUACGGCUACACAGCAAAAGUAACAUCUGGGAAGGAAAUAAGUCGUUACAAAUGGAUGUGGACAUCUGUUUUCUGAUGGAAAAAGAGCUUCUGUCCUACAAAAUAUUUUCUUGUAAUAAUGGAUAAUAAUGUUUUUAUUUAUUUUUAUUUGUUUGCUUUUAACUGGAGACCACAGAAUUUUCUUAUAAAAUAUUUAUUUGCAAUAUUCCAAGCAUUGUAGACCGCUUUGUCUAGUGGCAAGUCCUGAUCUCUGUAGUAACAGUGACACCUAUUUAGUGUGGCAGAGUGGCUUUGGUGUCAAAAAGACAUUGCUGCAAAUCUCAGUAUUUAUAACAGGAACUACUUUCAAUUCUCUCUUGGGGAUUUUUGUUAUCCACAUAUCUCCCUUUUAGUGGGAGAGCAAAGCCAGUCUUGCUGUUUUUGAACUCUUACUUAAAAUCUAACCUGGGACUAAUAAAAAGAAAGUUAGAGAUCCUCUCUGGCAGCCAAAGUCCCUGAAGUGAAAAAGCAGAGAAUGAGAAUUGUUUGUUAAAAGUGACCACAGCAAAAGCUAGAAGGUGAGGACCAAAGGAGAGAGCUGGUAAGAGAUACUCUGUGACACUGGUUGUCCAAUCAUUGAAAACACUGAGUCUUUGUGGGUCUCCGGCAAACUUCCAGUCCUCUCCUGCUUUCAGCGGAGAGUCUCCACUUAAUAAUUUAAGAACUCCACUUACACUAGCCUUUCUAUUUGCAUAUCUUUCUUGAUACUUCUUCUCCACCACCCUCAAACCCCAAGCACUAAGAUUUUCUCAGUUGUCCUUCUGAAUAUCUAUUGCAUGCAUUUGACUUCUAUUCAUCGCUGAUCUCCAUGGCCAUUUCCCACUGUCUAAAACUUUUCAACCAGUGCCAUUGACUGAGGCCUUCAGCAAUUUCUGUAAUAUAUUCCUGAGUAGUGCUUCAUGAUCUCAUCUUUGUCUACCUUUCCAGCUUAAUCUGUAUUGUUCUCCUUUCUUCUAUAUUGCACAGAAGCCAUCUGGGACUUGCAACUUCCGUUUGCUGUUCACAAAAGCCAUGUUCAUUUCAAGGCAGGAAUAUCCUCCCUCACAUUUCUCAUCUGCUGUAUUCCUACUCACUCUUCAGUUCUAACUGAAAGUUCACUUGCUUAUAAAGGCCUUUCCUGACCUCUUAGAUUUGUGUUAUUCCCUCUGCUGUAGGCUUUCACAACACCUUGUAUUUUUUAAUAUUAACCUUUUUAAUAUCAACUUAAAAAAUCACAAUCACUUAAUGUGUUUGUUUUCUACCAACCUGUGAGUUACAAGAAAUUGGGUACCAUUCUGUUUCUGUUUAUCUUGUAUUGCUAGGACUGGGUAGAGUGCAUACACGUAGUAAUGCCUA
ensembl:lncRNA LINC01266 long intergenic non-protein coding RNA 1266